rnacentral:rRNA from 1 species
UACGGGGGGGGCAAGCGUUGUUCGGAAUUACUGGGCGUAAAGGGCGCGUAGGCGGUUCGCUAAGUUGGAUGUGAAAACUCUGGGCUCAACCCAGAGCCUGCAUCCAAAACUGGCGGGCUAGAGUUCUGGAGGGGGUAGCGGAAUUCCUGGUGUAGCGGUGAAAUGCGCAGAUAUCAGGAGGAACACCAAUGGCGAAGGCAGCUCGCUGGGACGUGACUGACGCUGAGACGCGAAAGCGUGGGGAGCAAACAGG